AACUCUUGGGUGAGAUGAUAUAGUUGGGGCUGGUCCUCCUUUGAGCAAGGAUUGGACUAGAUGAACUCCUGAGGUCACAUCCAACCCUUAUUUUCCAUGAUUUCUAUGAUACAUGCCUGUGAUCAUCUGA